rnacentral:rRNA from 1 species
CCUAAUACAUGCAAGUCGAACGCUUUGAUUUUCACCGGAGCUUGCUCCACCGAAAAUCAAAGAGUGGCGGACGGGUGAGUAACACGUGGGCAACCUGCCCAACAGAGGGGAUAACACUUGGAAACAGGUGCUAAUACCGCAUAAUUUGUUUUCCCGCAUGGGAGAAUAUAAAAGACGCUUCGGUGUCACUGUUGGAUGGGCCCGCGCUGCAUUAGUUAGUUGGUGGGGUAAUGGCCUACCAAGACCGUGAUGCAUAGCCGACCUGAGAGGGUGAUCGGCCACACUGGGACUGAGACACGGCCCAGACUCCUACGGGAGGCAGCAGUAGGGAAUCUUCGGCAAUGGACGAAAGUCUGACCGAGCAACGCCGCGUGAGUGAAGAAGGUUUUCGGAUCGUAAAACUCUGUUGUUAGAGAAGAACAAGUGGGAGAGUAACUGUUCCCACCUUGACGGUAUCUAACCAGAAAGCCACGGCUAACUACGUGCCAGCAGCCGCGGUAAUACGUAGGUGGCAAGCGUUGUCCGGAUUUAUUGGGCGUAAAGCGAGCGCAGGCGGUUUCUUAAGUCUGAUGUGAAAGCCCUCGGCUCAACCGAGGAAGGUCAUUGGAAACUGGGGAACUUGAAUGCAGAAGAGGAGAGUGGAAUUCCAUGUGUAGCGGUGAAAUGCGUAGAUAUAUGGAGGAACACCAGUGGCGAAGGCGACUCUCUGGUC